UACGUAGGGUGCAAGCGUUUAAUCGGAAUUACUGGGCGUAAAGCGUGCGCAGGCGGUUUUGUAAGUUUGUCGUGAAAGCCCCGGGCCUCAACCUGGGAAUUGCGAUGAAGACUGCAAGGCUUGAAUCUGGCAGAGGGGGGUAGAAUUCCACGUGUAGCAGUGAAAUGCGUAGAGAUGUGGAGGAACACCGAUGGCGAAGGCAGCCCCCUGGGUCAAGAUUGACGCUCAUGCACGAAAGCGUGGGGAGCAAACAGG
rnacentral:rRNA from 1 species